rnacentral:rRNA from 1 species
GACGAACGCUGGCGGCGUGCCUAAUACAUGCAAGUGGGACGCAAGGGAACACACUGUGCUUGCACACCGUGUUUUCUUGAGUCGCGAACGGGUGAGUAACGCGUAGGUAACCUGCCUAUUAGCGGGGGAUAACUAUUGGAAACGAUAGCUAAUACCGCAUAAUAUUAAUUAUUGCAUGAUAAUUGAUUGAAAGAUGCAAGCGCAUCACUAGUAGAUGGACCUGCGUUGUAUUAGCUAGUUGGUAAGGUAAGAGCUUACCAAGGCGACGAUACAUAGCCGACCAGAGAGGGUGAUCGGCCACACUGGGACUGAGACACGGCCCAGACUCCUACGGGAGGCAGCAGUAGGGAAUCUUCGGCAAUGGACGAAAGUCUGACCGAGCAACGCCGCGUGAGUGAAGAAGGUUUUCGGAUCGUAAAGCUCUGUUGUAAGUCAAGAACGUGUGUGAGAGUGGAAAGUUCACACAGUGACGGAGCUACCAGAAAG